UUGUCUGAUAACAGAGAACUUUGUACAAGAUAUAUAUGUAUAUGUAUAUAUAUAUAUUACUUAACUAAAAAAUUAGAUGAAAAUUUCUAUAAGUAAAAAGUCAAUCUAUAGGGCUAAAUUUCAAUGCCUGAAUGCCUAAGGGUGCUUGAUCUCUAAAUAUUAUAUUUUUACUGAAAAUUAAUAUCUACAAAGGCACAAAAUUUCAUUUAUUUUUUGGUCCACCAAGAAUGAUAUAAAGUGAUUUCAUCCUUUAAGUUUUGGUAAUGUCUAUUAUUACUCACUGGCCAUACAAGACAUCAUUCUUUCACAUAUUUUGCCUACUGGUCCAAGAUUUUACAAAUUGACCCAGCCUUAUUCAUGGUAGUAAUAUAUAUGUGAAAUAAGGUAGUUUUAAAAAAUUCUUUUAUUGACGUUGAAUUCAUUUUAUAUAUUUUGGCAGGUCUCUGAGGAUGGUUCUCAUAUACUCCAUCAUCAGUGUUAAUUGGUGUGCAUCCCAAGAACCUAUUUGCCACCCUCCAAUCUUGAAGUCAGGCUAAAUUGCGUAAUUACUCUAGAGAUGCGUUUACCUUUAAGAAGAUCUAAUCAGUCAAUAGACUGAAGAGUGCCUCUGAUUUUUAUACAGUGCAAAGUGAAAAGUUUAUUAGAUGACGGAUGUAUAACCACAAGGUGGAAGGCAGGCUGUGCUUCCAAACAUUUGACCUCUUUUUCAAAUAGGAAACAGGAACAACAUCUGUUUGCCAUGGCACGAUGCCGUUGGCAAGUGAUCUUUCCAGGUUAAUUAUUGGAUGAUGUGCAGCUCUUCCGUAAUUUGACAGUUCUUCAUGAUGAGAGCUUCAAGUAGGCAGAUGUUCCCCUAUGGAAUCAGAAGAGAAUGGUGACAACUUCAUUGCAUACUGACAAGAUGUCACACACCCUGUUUUUAUAGACUUGGAAGAUGAGCUCAAAAGUUCUUGAGUGUAAUAUUGGUUAUUUGUGGGACAUAGAAAGGAACGAUAUUAGAAAAUGUCACUAAUAUCUCUGGCAAUUAGAACAUCAAACAUUGCAGCUUAAAUGUUUACCCAGGAUAGGAAUCUAGAGGUAACACUUGUAAGAGAUAUCCUGAGGAUGAAAAAUAUAGAUUUAUUUUCAGUACAUUUUUGGAAAUAUACCGGAUUUCUACAGCAGUAGAUCUUAACUACAUUCCUACUGAGUAAUAUUAUUACCAUUAGCUGUUUGCCAGUAGCUACUGGCAUAAUUUUCUUUUUCUACUGCUCACUGGACCCAAGCCUACUCAAUUUAGUGUAGUUGGCUGUAGUACCUCUCACUUUCUUAAAAUGCAGGGCUUUUCAAUUUAAAGAAUGUUUAUGGUAUCAGAGUAAUUUGAAACAGGUGUUUAAGCCUCACAUCUAUGCUGUGCAACAGAAGGUUUAUAUAUUUUUCAUUAUAUAGAGAGAUAGACCACAGUACUUGAAAUGACCAUCUGUCAUCAAAUACAUGCUGUGUGCUGAAUGUAAGAGAAAUAAUGUUUCGAUGCAAAAUCCUUUGAAAGUAACAAGAUGUACUCCCAAUACCUUCUGUCUCUUUUCUUGUCACUGAAUUGGAUAAAAACAAAAGAAUUAUUUUGUUUUCUUGCUUUCAGAGUAUCACCAAUGAGAGAACCCUAGAAUAUUGCAUGAUGUUUUUGCUUGGUUUGGCUUAUAAAACUGUAAGCCGUAUAUUUGAGAGAACAGUUAGUCCAUGGAUUUCCCCCAGAAGGGUGAUAUAAUUUUCACAUUGGAACACAAUUUGGAAGAAAAAUGAACAAGAUAAAGAUGGAGAUGAUCCUUGAACUAAACAUGGAGUCACUGAUGAGGAAUUUUGCAGACUACUAAAGAAUAUGUCAUUUUAAAGGGUGAGAAGCUCUCUUCUUUCGGUCAAGGUUUUUCUCCUCUUCAGAAAAUAUGAUCGUAGAAGUUUGGAAGACUUUUCCUGAUUGCUAAAUGAAGAAUUUUCUCAGCAAUAUAGUGUAGGUGGAGCUGGGCUCACAAGGCUUAUUCAGGUCAGAUGGCUUUGAAAAGCAUUAGUGACCUGAGGACGGGUUCAGCGGUUUGCUGUUUUGGCCCAAACCUACUUUUCCACAGACUGUUGGAAGAACUCACGGGAACCUUUUGUACAGUAUGAUACGUAAAAAAACGACUUACAAGGAUUAGUGGUUGCUAACAGACCUUGUGUCUCCACUCCUCUGUCUCUUUUUCAGCUUUGGACAGUUAGUAAGGUUGCAGGCUGAAGCUACAUGCUUACAUGUAGCUACAUGCUCAUCCUUCAGAAAUUAUUCUUCCUUCAUUAGUAUUACUUGCAAACAGACACAAGCAUUUAGUGUUUCUGAGUGAUCCAGAGAUUAUCUACACUCAGGGUGGUUCUAAAGCAAUAAAACUGAUCUCAGACUCACUGGUUUCAAUGUCUACAGUUUGGAUUAAGUGAUCUGUCGAUUCAAUAAACUGUCACUUGUCUUAAUCCCCAGGAGAUAGUUGAUAACAUCUGUAGAUAUUUUGGAUGUUAGAGCUGUGGUAGGGAAGUGGUAGUGGAUGUAUGUCACUUGCUUGCUGUGGAUAGAGGUUGGGAUGUUGCAAGUCAGUAUAACCCCCAAAUUGCUAAUUGUGCUGUAUUUGAGAAUCUUGUGUCUCAGGAUAGUUUGAAAAACAUCUCUCUUUCUAGGGGCAAGUGUCUGUCUCUCUAUUUGCUCAGUCAUUCUAAUUCUUUUCAAAAUUUAUUUAUUUUUAUUUUAUUUUUU